rnacentral:lncRNA from 1 species
CGGUACCCCAAGGGGACACACUGUGUCUAAUAAAACCACUGUCUUCCAAUUCAGUGAUCUGUUUCCUCAGCUCUUCCAUCUCAAUGCGGCUCAUGCGGUAAGGAGCAACCGAAAUGGGCUGGGUACCUAGCUGUAGGUCUAUAGUGAACUCGACUUCUCUAUCCACUAGCAGACUGGGUAAUUCGUCUGGAAACACAUCUGGGAAGUUUCAGACUACCAGAAUCUAUUGAAUACAAAUUUCCUUCUUGGGCUUGCCUAGUCAGAGAAAAUAGCAAGAUUAAGGCAUUAGAAAUUAAGAAAACU